AAUAUAUUUCUAUGUACCCCAAAGUCAAGGAUAGCCCAGGGAAACUUGGUGUAAUACUUGAUGUGGUCUCCGGAUCAAAGAUUUAUCGCUUAGGGAGCAGGGAAUAUCCUAUCAGGUUGUUGGUGAGGUAACGGCUCACCAAGCCAAAGACGGGUAGCGGGUGUGAGAGCAUGACCCGCCGCAUCGGAACUGAGACACUGUCCGGACUCCUACGGGAGGCUGCAGUAACGAAUAUUCCGCAAUGAGCGAAAGCUUGACGGAGCAAUGCCGCGUGUAGGAUGAAUCUUUUCGGAGUGUAAACUACUGUCAGAGACUAGGAACUCAAUGACCAAUCUCAAAGGAAGGGCCGGCUAACUUCGUGCCAGCAGCCGCGGUAAUACGAAGGGCCCGAGCGUUAUUCGGAAUCACUGGGCUUAAAGCGUACGUAGGCUGGUAUAUAGGCAUUUUGUGAAAUCCCUCGGCUCAACCGAGGAACUGCAGAGUGAACCAUAUAUCUUGAGACAGACAGAGGUCGUCGGAACGAUUGGUGGAGUGGUGAAAUGCGUUGAUAUCAAUCGGAACGCCGAAGGAGAAGUCAGGCGACUGGGUCUGUUCUGACGCUGAGGUACGAAAGCGUGGGUAGCGAACGGGAUUAGAUACCCCGGUAGUCCACGCCGUAAACAAUGUGCACUAGGUCGAGGGCGUUCUGACGCGACUCUCGGCCGAAGCGAAAGUGUUAAGUGCACCGCCUGGGGAGUACGGUCGCAAGGCUAAAACUCAAAGGAAUUGACGGGGGCUCACACAAGCGGUGGAGCAUGUGGCUUAAUUCGAAGCAACGCGAAGAACCUUAUCCUAGGUUUGACAUACACGGAUUAGCUAUAAGAAACUAUAGUGACACCUUCGGGUGGAACGUGAACAGGUGCUGCAUGGCUGUCGUCAGCUCGUGCUGUGAAGUGUCGGGUUAAGUCCCUUAACGAGCGCAACCCUUAUCGUUAGUUGCUAACAGGUAAUGCUGAGGACUCUAGCGAGACUGCCGGUGUUAAACCGGAGGAAGGUGGGGAUGACGUCA
rnacentral:rRNA from 1 species